GUCCAGACUCCUACGGGAGGCAGCAGUAGGGAAUUUUGCGCAGUGGGGGAAACCCUGACGCAGCAACGCCGCGUGAUUGAUGAAGCCCUUCGGGGUGUAAAGAUCUGUCAGUGGGGACGAAACUUGACGGUACCCACAGAGGAAGCAUCGGCUAACUCCGUGCCAGCAGCCGCGGUAAUACGGAGGGUGCGAGCGUUAAUCGGAGUUACUGGGCGUAAAGCGCUCGUAGGCGGUAUGUCAAGUCAAGGGUGAAAUCCCCGCGCUCAACGUGGGAACUGCCUUUGAAACUGGCAAACUGGAGUGUGUGAGAGGAUAGUGGAAUUCCAGGUGUAGGAGUGAAAUCCGUAGAUAUCUGGAGGAACAUCAGUGGCGAAGGCGACUAUCUGGCACAUAACUGACGCUGAGGAGCGAAAGCGUGGGUAGCAAACAGGAUUAGAUACCCCUGUAGG
rnacentral:rRNA from 1 species